rnacentral:rRNA from 1 species
UCUAAGCACAUGCCUUAAUACGGUGAAGCCGCGAAUAGCUCAUUACAACAGCCACCGUUUACUAGAAUAUAGUUAUCCUACUUGGAUAACUGUGGCAAUUCUAGAGCUAAUACAUGCAAAAAAGCUCCGCCCGCAAGGAACGAGCGCAUUUAUUAGAAUAAAAACCAAUCGGGUUUCGGCCCGUAAUUUGGUGAAUCUGAAUAACUUUGCCAAUCGCACAGUCCUAGUACUGGCGAUGUAUCUUUCAAGUGUCUGCCUUAUCAACUUUCGAUGGUAGGUUAUACGCCUACCAUGGUAGUAACGGGUAACGGAGAAUAAGGGUUCGACUCCGGAGAGGGAGCCUGAGAAACGGCUACCACAUCCAAGGAAGGCAGCAGGCGCGCAAAUUACCCACUUCCAGAACGGAGAGGUAGUGACG